ensembl:lncRNA
UUUCAUUUUUUCCCAUUUUUAUUUAUAAAAUGAAGGUGUUAAAAGUCUAGGAAGCAUUCAUCACUGGCAAGUGAGACUUCAAACAUAUUCAUAUUUAAUAAUAAUUCUCCCUUUAAGAGCGUCUAACAACAGAGUUUGUACAAGGCAAAUAAUUUAAGGACAAUAUUUUAAAAAAAUGAUUAAGUGACUACAUAUAACUAUGACCUCCUGGCUUUGUGCACAGGCGUAAGACAGGUGCUUGUACCGACAGACAUCUAUACAGUAUUUAAUAUCACAAUAAUCCUGAACAUUACUCUUCAAAAACUGGCUUUUGUUGAAACAUGAAUGUUUUGUACCGUAUGUUCGGCUCCAUUAAUGCUGUGAAAAUGUAAUGGAAUCAGAAGGUGAGUACAAAGUCCUGAAGAAUCUGCUUUUUCGAGUAGAUCAUAACACUGGAGCCCUCCAUCAACAUGCCUGUGAACGCUUUAAUGAAAGCAGCUCAGUGCAAAUAAUGGUGCCAAAUAAGUUUCUUUUUCCUGGUUUGUUACAUAUAGACCACCACAACAAAUCCAACCUAGUUAGCACAUGAAAAUACAACAUUUUAAAAUGACAUUUUUAAACCCAAGAAGAACAUUUUUUAAAAUAUACAACAGAUGAAACACAAUCAUAUUAUGUGACAUUACAUUUGUACCUAUGUGAAUGGAAACAGUUGUGAUGGAAAAACUGACAUGUUGUGCGAUGCUGUGUGGCGUCGCUGGCAAAACGUUAUCGGCAGAUAAGCGGUUUAACAUAUAAAUUGCAAAAAAGUUGCUGUUUAUCACAUGUAGCACAGAGAUAAAGACGGCUUACAUCAGCUGUACUCUCGCUACUGGAAAUGCUCCAAUGGUUUCAGCCCAACCACUCAUAGGAGGGUGACUCACUAACAGUGAACUAACCUGUGUUAUUAUCAAUGCAAACUGGAGCAAACUGGACAUUGCACCGUUUUUGAACUAGAGUCAGCUGGUUUAAAGACUUUUUAAUGUCCAAUCCAUUUGCCAACAUGCACCUUGGUAAGGUCAUGUCUAAAAGGGCCGAGGGCCACAGUGCAUAGUGUGAAAUUGCUAUACUACAUUGUGCAGUACAUUGUUGUUCAGUGUUAGAGCAGAAAUGUAAAGUAAUUAAGCUAAAUAAUGAGCCGGUGUUAAAUGGAUAUAGCACAUUUUGAUCUUCACACGAGGGUUGAAAAUGUUUUUACAUUUUACAAAUAAACACUCAAAGAAAAUGUGUUACUGUAUUGGUGAACAAUUCAUUUUGCUCUUAUUCCCCCUUUCUUACAUUUUAGCACACGGUGGGGAAACAAGACCAUUUCUGCAGGAAAAAAAUGCAGCAUUUUUGCCACAAUGAUGAAAUGAGCACUAAUUAAAAACAGGAUUUACGCCAGUGAGACAACAAAUGUGUAGACCACCUGCAUGAAACGUACCUGUUUUUCAACCCCUGAUUCAAAACCUCAAAUACAUAAAUGAGACAUAAACUGUAUAUCAGCAGUGUGUCCUUUCUGAGAGUUAUCAGUAUCUCCCACACAGGGGUUUGCAGUUUCUUUGGGCAUCAGGGACACAGAGUGUAAGCACUCAAACAGGUUAUACACCAGUACAAAGAAGUGAAGUCUCUGUGCUUCUAUUACGUGGCAUUGUGUAUGUGUAUUGUUGUCUCAUCCGGUUAUAUAACAUGCAGGUAGGUUGCCUUGGUGUCCACCCCUAUCACAUUUUUGGCGGUGCAUUUGUAAAAUCCUGUAUCCAUGCUUGUCGGGUUUUGUAUCACUAAAGAACCCUGAGGGCUAAGAUAGCGGUUCCCAUAAAUGCGAGGCUGAGCCAUGACCUUCAGCUGCAUCAGGUCUGGUGUUUCCCAGGUAACUGUCGCCCGGGUGUUGCUAUGGUCAGGCAGGGCAGUUCCACAGCGACGCCGGGGCGGGUGUAGGUCACAGGGGAGGGCCCUGUUGUGAUGCGCGGAGGGUAGGCGAUGACAAUAACAGGAACUGUGAUCACUGAAACUGAGGAAGAGUCGUAACUCGUGGAUCUGCAGGUGUAGGUGCCACGGUCGAACACAGAGGCCUGUUGCACUGUUAAUGCUCCAUCCUCUUGGAUUAAGUAACGGCCUGAGUCACCACUCUCACCCUGGGACAGCACCUUGCCACUGGGCAUGGUCCAUGUGAAUGAGCUGCGGGUAAAUCCAGGUGUUUGAGAGGCAGGGCAAGGCAGGUGAAGGGUCUCUCCAUUAAUGAUGCUCACAAGUGAGGCUGUUUGGGUGAUCACAGUGGGCACUGAGGCAGUGCCAGUUGAGGAUGGGGGACCAACUGGGUGAGGUGGUGCAGGCAAUCUCACUGCACUUUGCCGAGGCUUUUCAGUAACUGAGAUUCUCGGGUAAAGCACAGGUGACGCUGGCUUUGAGCUUAAGGACUGCUCUGAUACCACUAACCCUCCUGAGAGCGGCACCUUAGUUAAACCAACCCUUUCUUCCCUGUGUGGAGAUCUGACCUCCUCCUGCCGGUCUGACACCUCCAGCUCCACCCGCAUUGUCGUCUCUCCUUUCUCACUUCUCACUACACAAACCAAGACACCAGCAUCACUCCCUCGAACACCCCGCAGCUCUAAGGUACCAUUUCGGUGCACAGUGAGACGACUGCCAUAGUAGGGAGAUGGCAACAUGCCAUUCCCGGGCAGAAGCCAGAACAGACGCGACUGACGGGAAUUUUGGGACGGGCAUGGCAAAAAAAUUGUUUGACCUUUAACUGCUUGCUGCUUCACCGUCGUUGCUACACCCAGUGCUGUGUUGGGGGAGUUUUUAGCAGUAUUACUACUUAACUCACCACUAUUUCUUCUGCUGUCCGUCCUUCCUAGAUUACUGCUCCUAUUAAAAUCAUCCCCUCUGUGUGUGCUUGUCCCAACUGCUUUAUUAGACACAGUGCUACUAAAGCCUCCAGCAUUUCUCGAAUUACCACUUAACCUGCCAUUUUCUCCGCUCGUAUUAGCGUCAUUACUAGCCUUUCCUGCAAUGACUUCAUUGAUAUUCCGUGCAGGAUUUCUCUCAGCACUACCUUCUCUAACUGUGCUGCGACUGUUACCUACACUGUUGCCGUUGUGUAUAAUACUAGGUCUAUUUAUAUUAAUUCCAGUAUUAUCUGCUUUAGUGCUUACAUUCCUUGCACGGUUCACCCCCACGCUGAUUACGCUACUGCUUAGUUUUGUUGUAAUUCCACUCACAAGCCCGUUAAAUCCAUUUUGACUAUCAUUCUUAAGGACAGGAUUAGAGCUACUGAUUGCCAAAUUAACACCACUGCUUGGUACAAUGUUUCUUAUCCUCUCAUUAUCGUUGUCAUUGCUGCUGCUGUUGUUAUGCAGCUUGUCUGUGAUUCCAGACAAUCCAUAGCGGAUUAUCCCCCCAUUGUUAAUGUUGUCCCCUGAUCUGGUGUCAGUCCCACUGUUAUUACUCCAACGUCCUCCUUCCACUCGGCCACGCAAUCCAUAGGUAGGCGUCUCCACCUCAAGCCUGACCACCCUGCUCCUCUCCCCAGCUGAGUUGCUUGCUUGGCACGUAUAGUUUCCCGUGUCGAUCUUUUGAGCUACGCGCACCUCCAGAGUGCCAUUUGAAACCACCACUACUCGUUCAAAAUAAUAACCAGAUCCUAAACUUCGUGGGAUAACACGGUUUGCAGGGUUGAACCACGUCACUGUAGGGGUAGGGUUUCCUGUGGCUCGGCAGGGAAUUCGGGCUGUUGCUCCCUGGCGUACUUUCAUGACAUGGUAGCUUCUGUCAUCAGUAAAAGUUGGUACAGAUGUCAUCAUAACCUUUACUUUGACC